GACAGAGGAUGCAAGCGUUAUCCGGAAUGAUUGGGCGUAAAGCGUCUGUAGGUGGCUUUUCAAGUCCGCCGUCAAAUCCCAGGGCUCAACCCUGGACAGGCGGUGGAAACUACCAAGCUGGAGUACGGUAGGGGCAGGAGGGAAUUCCGGGUGGAGCGGUGAAAUGCAUUGAGAUCGGAAAGAACAACCAACGGCGAAAGCACU
rnacentral:rRNA from 1 species